AUCCUUUUGUGGUUCAUAAAUGUAAUGAUUGAGUUUCUUACACUCAUGUGUGAGAUGCACUUCUCUCAAAACUUGUUGCAAUGUUGCCAUACCAGGUUGAUG